UGCAAAUGGGAAGGGCCAUCCAUCUCACUUAAAAAGCAAAUCUGAAGGAUGCAAGUAGCAGAAAGGAGUGUCAGGGUGAGCUUUCCGGUGUCCGGAGCGAGGACCAGCCAGCGGACGGCGCCUGUGUGAAUGAAGCAGUGCGCGGGGUGUCCAGGGCAGCCUUUGUUUUGCCUCUGAAAGGAGUGGUGCAGGAUGCACAGUGAAUGGCAUUUCCUAUUUUGUGAAACUGGCAACAUGUACAAAACUGAUUCCACGCGGGACAACUGCAAGCAAAAAUUUCACCUGCCCAUUAAAUAAGCUUAUAUUCAAUUUCUUCUGGCUCAUGGGGUAGAUUUAUACAUAGUAGACAUGCAUAUUCAGCACUGUGACAGACUUGGUUUGUUUCCCAAGAACAGGGAGGUAAUACUGACCAGACAGUUUUUUGGUCUGUUUUCUCAACUGCAAUAAAAUAUUCUAGCUAUACUUCUGCCAGCACAAAUCUUGUUUAUCUGAGUCCUCUUCUGAUGGGGAUGAUCUGCUAGAAUACAAUUUAUGAACAGUUUACUGAAACACCUGAAAGAAUUCUUUCCUGCUUGACAGCUGGGUUUCUUUUGAGACUUACCUGAGACAAAGUCUUUAAGUAGCAUUGAAUGCUCAGUAGAGAGACCUGGUAUCACAUAUAAAAGGCAAUUGUCUGACACACACAGGGUGAAGUGUGCUUAAGCAAAGUCAUUUUACUUCCUCGAGCAUGAGAAGAAUAGUUGUGCCUUUGUGUCAGUGCAACUGGCUAUGCAUUCUUGCAUUUAAAUCCAGGUAAACACAAUUUCACUGCCAGAAGCCUACUUAAAUUCCCUUCCUUAAUGAAAACAUCCUAAAGGCCCAUCCUUGACUAUGCAUGUACAUCCCUUCAUGAACACGAGUUUUAAUUAAUGUCUUCAUGUGUAUUUGCACAGAGAAUGGAGUCAAAGCCUGCAGAAAUGGAAUUUUAAUGUACGUGUGUGGUGGUAAAUGAUAGCUAAGAGCUGUGACCCUCCCCUUUGCAGGGGGUAAACCCAAAUCACGGGGAGUUUGUAACAGGAGAAGGAAUUGUCCCUCUUCUGCGUGCCAGCACCUCUACAGCUUCUAUGUUGGUCUUCUUCCCACGCACAAAGGAGCAAGGAAGAAAGAGUACUCACACCAAAUAUUUUGAUUUGAUUUAUGCUUUGGAGUUGAUAAGUCGGAAAUAAUCAUUUGAAACCCUCAGCCUUUGUUCUUUAAACCAUCACUGUUACUACAUUGGCUGUUGACUCUAGCACAGGCUGAGGCACCUGUAUCCCUCCUGUAUCCCUGGAUUAUUUGCUUUUGCUUUUUCUGUUAAUGUUUCCUUUACCCUGGGCCACUGCUGCAUAGAUAAACCAAAGACCAGUUGUUAGAUGCUGGUCAAGUUGUGACCUCUUGUGAAGACGUUCUGCUUCUGGAGCAUCGGUGUCAUCCAGCAGCUGGAAGAGGCAAGACCAGGGAGGUGUAGUGAGCACCUGCUAAAGUGAGAGAAGCUUUCGUGUGUCUGCAGGGAUGCAGAGCAGGUUGUUAUGUCAGUCCGUGCUCAGGAGGGAAGGGAGUUCCACGUGAGAGGUCUUUUCCCAGAAGAAAAUGAUCCAUAAAACUGGUAUCUACGCUCAGCUGCCUUAAAGCAGUGCAAAACGAGAUGGUUGGAGACUUGACGUGAUUUUUCCAGCAGUUGCUCUGCUUGAGUAUUAGACAGAUGGAGGGAAAGACUGGCAAAAUGUGUUUCUGAGGAGCAGUUUCACACCCCAGUGAAGCCCAGCCUGUGAUCUCACUGCAAACUGAUCCCCCGGCUCCUGGCACAGGUUAUCUCAGAAUGUAUGCUGAAUUCUAGAAAUAGCAAUGAGCCUGUAGAAUGAUGCUGGCUGUCUGCGAUCCCAACAAGUUUCUGUUUAUCUGGCGGUACAGAGGAGUGACCAAGUAAAUGAUUAAUUACGAAAUGCCUUUAUAAUUUGAAUUGCAGCGUUUGGAGUGGUGAUGGCCUGGUAGGGUGCCUUUGUUUAAUGGUCUGCGUUCUGCAGAUGUUGUUUUGGAGUAUUGGUUCCAAGUCUCACCAACUAACUCUUUUCUUUAUUUGUACUGAGUGCAUUUGAAGUUGCAUCAUUUCCUCGGUAAGAACAGUUUUAUUUUUGACCGGAGUGUUUGUCAGGUGGGAGAAAUCCUAAAUGUGAGUGCUCUCUGGUGGCGAAGAUUUCUGCUUCAGCCUUCUGAUUUCUGCAGUCUAUUGUCCAAUGGCAGUUAGGUGUGAACAUGUGAUAUGUGACUCUUUCUGAAAAGAUGCAUAUUUGCAUAGCAAAAGUAUUUAAAAUUUUAUUUGGUACUUCAUGUUUUCCUUUAAAAUUUAAAGAAUCAGUAAGUGAUGUCAGGUUGUUUCACUUAUGUCUGGACUUAAGCAUUUUUGUUCUCAACUCCUUUCCCUAAAAAUAAAAGCCACAAAACAAA